UGGGGAAUCUUAGACAAUGGGCGCAAGCCUGAUCUAGCCAUGCCGCGUGAGCGAUGAAGGCCUUAGGGUUGUAAAGCUCUUUCAUAUGGGAAGAUAAUGACUGUACCAUCAGAAGAAGCCCCGGCUAACUCCGUGCCAGCAGCCGCGGUCAUACGGAGGGGGCUAGCGUUGUUCGGAAUUACUGGGCGUAAAGCGCACGUAGGCGGACUGGAAAGUCAGAGGUGAAAUCCCAGGUCUCAACCUUGGAACUGCCUUUGAAACUCGCAGUCUUGAGGUCGAGGGAGGUGAGUGGAAUUCGGAGUGUAGAGGUGAAAUGCGUAGAUAUUCGGAGGAACACCGGUGGCGAAGGCGGCUCACUGGAGCGAUACUGACGCUGAGGUGCGAAAGCGUGGGGAGCAAACA
rnacentral:rRNA from 1 species